rnacentral:rRNA from 1 species
UACGAAGGGGGGCUAGCGUUGCUCGGAAUCACUGGGCGUAAAGCGCACGUAGGCGGAUUGUUAAGUCAGGGGUGAAAUCCUGGAGCUCAACUCCAGAACUGCCUUUGAUACUGAAGAUCUCGAGUCCGGGAGAGGUGAGUGGAACUGCGAGUGUAGAGGUGAAAUUCGUAGAUAUUCGCAAGAACACCAGUGGCGAAGGCGGCUCACUGGCCCGGUACUGACGCUGAGGCACGAAAGCGUGGGGAGCAAACAGG